rnacentral:ncRNA from 2 species
GGGUAGGCUGGCCCGGCCAGUCGACCUCCCCAGGGGGUCAGGGAACCCGGUGAGAGUCCGGGACUGACGCGCAGCGGUGUGGGUGACGGGCGGAGCACGACGUCACUGGGUCCUCCGGGACCUGGGAAGACGCUCCGACCCGGACGAUCCCGAGUCCGAAGACCUGCUGGCCCUUGCGGAGACCA